rnacentral:rRNA from 1 species
UACGUAGGGUGCAAGCGUUAAUCGGAAUUACUGGGCGUAAAGCGUGCGCAGGCGGUUGUGUAAGUCAGAUGUGAAAUCCCCGGGCUCAACCUGGGAAUUGCAUUUGAGACUGCACGGCUAGAGUGUGUCAGAGGGGGGUAGAAUUCCACGUGUAGCAGUGAAAUGCGUAGAUAUGUGGAGGAAUACCGAUGGCGAAGGCAGCCCCCUGGACCUGUACUGACGCUCAUGCACGAAAGCGUGGGGAGCAAACAGG